rnacentral:rRNA from 1 species
GAGUUUGAUCCUGGCUCAGAUUGAACGCUGGCGGCCAGGCCGUAACACAUGCAAGUCGAGCGGAUGACGGGAGCUUGCUCCUUGAUUCAGCGGCGGACGGGUGAGUAAUGCCUAGGAAUCUGCCUGGUAGUGGGGGACAACGUUUCGAAAGGAACGCUAAUACCGCAUACGUCCUUACGGGAGAAAGCAGGGGACCUUCGGGGCCUUGCGCUAUCAGAUGAGCCUAGGUCCGGAUUAGCUAGUUGGUGGGGUAAAUGGCUCACCAACGGCGACGAUCCGUAACUGGUCUGAGAGGAUGAUCAGUCACACUGGAACUGAGACACGGUCCAGACGUCCUACGGGAGGCAGCAGUGGGGAAUAUUGGACAAUGGGCGAAAGCCUGAUCCAGCCAUGCCGCGUGUGUGAAGAAGGUCUUCGGAUUGUAAAGCACUUUAAGUUGGGA